GCAAACUCACCAGGGUCUUUCAAUGUGAAUGGCUUCAAGAGCCACAACACAUUCUUUGACAGCUCGAAGAACCCCUACACGAAGCCAAGAAUAUCAUCAGAUCGGUUCUGGAGUCAUCAGCAGCGAAGCUAUUACUCCUAUGUUCUGUAUGAUCAAGGGUGCAUUUUCCCUCAUAUGCGCCUUGACACUGAAGCCACUACUAGACUGCCCUGCUUAGAAGAAGCACUUGACUGCUUUCGUGAUGCUGGCUUGCUCAGUUUUGUCACAGAUAAAGAACACUGGAAUGAAGAGCUAUUGCUUCAAUUCUAUGCUACUCUGCACAUUCGCGGCUACAACAGAGAUAUCAAGACAUGGAUUCUAGAGUGGAUGGCAAGAAAUGUUCAUCAUGAAGCCAAAGCUCUCGACAUCAUUGAGCUUACAGGCCUAUCCACUCCCGGAGAACUCUAUGAACCUGGUUGUCAAAAUCACCGCAAUGCUUUGGAAAGCAUCUUCCAUAAGCCUGAACCCAAUAUGAGUCAGAUGUUGAGCAUGAUGAAGCCUUUGCCAUGUGAUGCUGAAUACCCAACAGAGUUCUUUGUUGAAGACCUUGAGUAUGUGCCACGCACCAUAUAUCACAUCAUCAGGAGAACUCUAUGGCCUAUCAAAGGACAUUCAUCA
rnacentral:rRNA from 1 species